CCUGGAAGUCGUACGGGUCAGUCGCUUUUCCUCAAAAACAAGCACAAAACAUCAAAUCAUUGGUGCAGCUAUCGACGCACAAUCAUUCCCAUCGAAUCUCGGCUUCAACUUCAACGAUCAGCCUACAAGCCUCGCAGGUUCGAUUACCCAACCACCUCGAAUUCAACUUCAACGAUCAGCCUACAAGCUUCGCAGGUUCGGUUUCCCAACCACCUCGGUUUCAACUUCAACGAUCGGCCUACAAGCCUAGCAGGUUCGGUUACCCAACACAACCUCGGUCUCUUCAUCAUUUGCUUACAGCAGCACAUCUCAAACUCCAACCAUGACAUAAAUAUUUAUACUUGGACUUGGGGAACUAUUGUUGCGUAUUGUCAUACUUAGCCAACCUACCUGGGCCAAUGGCCCACUCAGGCCGAACCACGUGGCAUUCCAGCCGAGGCGGUAUAUAUUGCCGAGGUGGGCUAUGGCCCAAGCCCUCCAAUCCGAAGCAUGCCCUUUCACCGAGGCCUGUAAUCGUAACCGAGGUCCACAUCCUGAGGCCUAUGGGCCGACGCCAUGAUGCGAAAGCUGGUUGAAGUUAACUGAAGCCCUCAAGUGGGAGUAUUGUAUGAAAUGGCUGAAGCCCCAAAGCUGAUGCAGGAGCCUCCGAACCACAUGGGAACGUCCUCCAUGGUCACUUCUCCCAAGAGAUCGUCUACACAAAGAUCUUAUUCGAAUGAUUGAUGGAACAUUUGUCAUAAGUAUAAAGGUCAAGUCUUGUCACUAGCAUGGAGGCUCUGCACAAGCAAUAAAUGCGCAGCAAGCUAGCAAGUCAAGCCCCCUGCCUAGAAUAAGAUGUUUGAAUCAAAGAGAUGAGGCCAUGCUACCUCAUCCAAGGGCUCCCAUUUACAUGUAUCACUAUAAAUACUUUCCUUGUGUAACAUCAAAGGAUUAAUGCAAGAAUCAAUACAAAGAACUACACUUUACUCAACCCUCUCUCCCAUUUACUUGCAAUACACAAAUCGAGUUUACACACAUUUACAUAUACAUUUACGAACACCGGUUGGUAAUUAUUGUACAAUCGGAUCACGAACAACCCGUCGGAUUCCGAACGUCACUGUCCCGUGUCAUUGGGCUACUCCUAUGCCCUUUGAACCGCUCGUCGUAGACCGUCCAUGUGUCUUAACUUGUUGGACAUUCGCCCACGUGUGCGCGGGUGGACCUGCAUCUGUUGGCAACACUUUUUGGGGGUCAACAUAUGUCAUUCUAUAUUAUAAUAAAUAGCGUACGAUGACUUAUUUUUUAUCAUAUUUUAUAUAAAUAUAUGUACUAAAAAUAUUUUUUCGUCAUCUCAAAGCAUAGAACAAAAUAUUUGAAGUAAAUCAUCAUUAAUGACAAAAUGUAUUAAUUAAUGAAAAGUUGAAGAUAAAAAUUUGAUGAAAAAAAUUAAGAAAAUGAUUGCUAUAACAAGAACUACAAUUAAAAUGUAGUGCAACUAAUCAAAAUUAUAGUACCAAUAUAAAUUGACAUCCCUUGAUAGAGGCAAAAAAAUAAUUAAAAAAAAAAUUGAAAAUCUAAAACACGUUUUUUUGCUCGAAUUAUAUUCGCUAUAGGCUAACAGAAAUGUAAUACAAAAGAGGCAAAUAACAGAAAUUUACGACUUCAAAACAUUAUAGUUCUUUCCAUAUAACUACAGUUAAUUACUGAUUCAAAGGUUUAAAUUUGCAUUUGGCCUAAACUUGCUUAAUUUGUUCAAUCUCCUACGAUUCUCAGUCGGGUUCCUCGUCAAUAUUUAUUGUUGUAGUUAUAUAUAUGUUAAGAACAGGAAUUGUUGGCAGCAGAAGUUGAACAUUUUGCUUAAAAUUCCUCCAUAUUCUAGAGAUACAAGCAAUGCAUAAGGAGAGUAGCGUAAUUAUGGGGUAGAUAUACCAAAAGACAUCUUGUGGAAAGAAUAGUGAGGCCAAGAAACAAACCAAUAGGGAAACUGAGUAGUUCUUGACUUGAAUGCGUAUGCAUCCUAUAUCAACUUGAGGUGCCAAUGGGAUUUCAAUGAAGAUGAAGGAGGAGAAAGAAAAAGCUAUUGAGAAGACAAAACUUGAACCACGUGAAGUUUUCAAUUAGUAUACCAAAUGGAUCCCAUUCCCAAGGCAUGGCUGUAGAUGAUUUCAGUAUGUUUACAGCUAAUGGGGUAGCGUGUCUUAGAUCAAAGUAUGACGUUAUUCUUAACUGAAAGAUUGUUGAGAGAAUUUAAGGAGAGGUAAUGAAUUGCAGAAUUCUUGGUUUUUGGUUUGAGAGAGUGAUGAAUUCCAGAAUUCUUAGGGUUUUGGUUGGAGAGGGAAAUUAAGGAGAAGUGAUGAAUUGCAGAAUUCUUAGUUUUUGGUUGGAUCGAUUGCAGAAUUCUUGGAUUUUGGUUAAAGAGAGAAAUUAAGGAGAAGUGAUGAAUUGAAUAUGAAGAUGAUACUUUCUUUGAGCAGCAUGAUGUAUCCCUAUAUAUAAGAAAAUAGAAAGUGUUAUGGAAACAUCCAUUUUUUUCCUGAAACUGUUUGCAUUUUCACACUAGUGGAUGUUUCCAUGAAAUCUCAUUAACACCUCAAGUUGAUUUGGGAUACAUACGCAUUCAAGUCAAGAAUUCCUCUUUCCCUAUUGGUUUGUUUCUUGGCCUCACUAUUCUUCUUAGUCCUGUAAGUAAAAACCGUCAAACCAGAAAAUCGAAUCGAAAUCGCAUUUUAGAAAUCGUCAGUUUGGUGCCACGUGGACUCGAUCAACAAAAUAGUUUUGACCCAAACCAAACCGGUCAAAAUGGUUUGGUUUAGGUUUGAGAAUUUUAAUUGCAGUUUAAAACUAAAUCGGACGGGGGAAAAAAUAUAUAAAAAUAAAAAAAAUGAAGAAAUGAAUUUUUUUAUUAUCCAAUAAUUCUUAUACAUAUCUAAUAAUUUCAAGACUAACAUAAUCUAUCAAAAGUCAUUUUCUUCUUCAGAAUUUAGAUGAACUCUCAGCCGACAUCCAACAUAGUCUUGAGCCACCGGCACCACACACUUCUUUUUCAGAUUUUUCACGCCUCUUCAAAGUUGAAUAGUAGUCUAUUAUACCAAAUCGGAGACAAAGAGAUCGUAAACAUUCGGUGAUAAUAUUUGUUACGAAUAAAGUUUCAGAUCAAUAAUUUUUUUGGAACAAACUAAGGUAAGAAUCUGAAAUUAAAUGCGUUUCGUAACAUCAUACAAACGUAAACUUGUAUAAUUGUUAUGUUUAGAUAUUAUAAACAAUUGCUUUAUUAUUAUGGUUGGUUAUUCUCUUUGUCUAAUCAGUAUCCAUCAUUCAGAUAUGAUGAUCACGAGAUCUUAUUGAACAUCAUUAUAUUUUUUGGCUCUUAUAUCUAAUUUAAUAGACUUGUAUUGUAACGUUAUUAUAUCGUUAUUAGCCUAAAAAAGAUGAACAAAAAUGAAAAAAAACUAUGUCUUAGCUUAUUGUAAUUUUUCUUUGAUUUAGUUGGUAUUUAAAGUUAUAGUAGACAUAUUUAGUCUCUAUUUGAGCCAUAUUUUCUAUAUCAUCAUAACGAGAAAAUUGAUCGUUGGAAAGGAGGCUGGGUCCCACACAUGAAAUAACAGGUCAACAAAGGUGGCUGGAUUUGUGGGAUAAUGGUUCAAAUUUUCAUUUUUUUGUUCCAGAAAUUUUGUUCAAACAGAGGUUUAGUUUAUUUUAGAUUUAUUACUAGUAAGAUAUAAAUAUAUAUUGAAUUCAAUGAAUUAAUGACAUAAGAGCAGACGGGAAAAAAAUAUAUGACGAAAUCGGUGGUUUAAAAUCAGACCAAGCCGUUAGGUUUAGGUUUGAGUUUUUUUCAAACCGUUUAAAAUGGUUUGGUUUAGGUUUGGAAUUUUUUCAAACCAGUGUAAAGGGUUUGGUUUGAAAAUCUGUCAAAAAUCAGUAAAAUCGGACCACUUACACUCCUAAUUCUUCUCACAAGAUAUCUUUUGGUAUACCUACUCCAUAAUUAUGUUGCUCUACUUAUGCACUGCUUAUAUCUCUAACAUGUGGAGGAGUUUUAAGCUGAGUGUUCAACUUGUGCUGCCAACUAUUCCUGUUCAUACCAUAUUUAUGACGACAACAACAACAACAACAACAACAAACAUUGAUGAUGAAGCAGACUUAGAAUUGCAGGAGAUAGAACAAAUUCAGCAAAUUUAAGCCAUAUGCAAAUUUGGAGCUUUGAAUCAGUUGGUCCUUUGCGGAUAAUUAAAUAUAGGUACUUGGAAAGAACAAUUAUGUUUUAAAGUAGUAAAUUUCUAUUAUUUGCCUCUUUUGUAUUACAUUUCUGCUGGCA
rnacentral:lncRNA from 1 species